CCUACGUGUGGCAGCAGUGAGGAAUAUUGGUCAAUGGGCGAGAGCCUGAACCAGCCAAGUCGCGUGAGGGAGUACUGCCCUAUGGGUUGUAAACCUCUUUUGUCGGGGAGCAAAAGCCGGACGUGUCCGGCUGUGAGAGUACCCGAAGAAAAAGCAUCGGCUAACUCCGUGCCAGCAGCCGCGGUAAUACGGAGGAUGCGAGCGUUAUCCGGAUUUAUUGGGUUUAAAGGGAGCGUAGGCCGCAUGUCAAGCGUGCUGUGAAAUGUCCGGGCUCAACCCGGGCCUUGCAGCGCGAACUGGCGUGCUUGAGUCCGCGGAAAGCAGGCGGAAUUCGUCGUGUAGCGGUGAAAUGCUUAGAUAUGACGAAGAACCCCGAUUGCGAAGGCAGCUUGCUGCAGCGGAACUGACGCUGAUGCUCGAAAGCGCGGGUAUCGAACAGGAUUAGAUACCCGAGUAGUC
rnacentral:rRNA from 1 species